rnacentral:rRNA from 1 species
CCGGCACGGGUGAGUAACACGUAUCCAACCUGUCGUCUACUCUUGGCCAGCCUUCUGAAAGGAAGAUUAAUCCAGGAUGGCAUCAUGAGUUCACAUGUCCGCAUGAUUAAAGGUAUUUUCCGGUAGACGAUGGGGAUGCGUUCCAUUAGAUAGUAGGCGGGGUAACGGCCCACCUAGUCAACGAUGGAUAGGGGUUCUGAGAGGAAGGUCCCCCACAUUGGAACUGAGACACGGUCCAA